rnacentral:rRNA from 1 species
UACGUAGGGGGCAAGCGUUGUCCGGAAUUACUGGGCGUAAAGGGCGCGUAGGCGGCCUGUUAAGUCGAACGUGAAAUCCCCGGGCUCAACCCGGGAACUGCGUCCGAUACUGGCAGGCUUGAAUCCGGGAGAGGGAUGCGGAAUUCCGGGUGUAGCGGUGAAAUGUGUAGAGAUCCGGAGGAACACCAGUGGUGCAAACGGCGCCCUGGGUCCGAACUGACGCUGAAGCACGAAAGCGUGGGGAGCGAACGGG